rnacentral:tRNA from 1 species
AUUAUCUAGGCGGAAUAGCGCAUUAAAUUUAGGAUUUAAGGGUGGCCUAAUAGGGUCAGAUAGUG